CAGGAACCGUAGAAGAAGAAGGCUAACCCGGAAAAUUUACGAUAGCGGGCAUUUUGAAACCAUAAACUCGCCUUUCUCGUAUUUUGAACCUUUCAAAUGUCUUGCAUUAUGUUGAAAAAACCACCGAAAUUCAAGCCCAGCGUCAAAUCAAAGAUGGAGUUUAACAAUACUGUCAGACCGUCGUCUGAAGCAAUGAUGGAGCUCCUCACUCUACUUUUCCUCAACAAUUUGGCCCAAGAGGGAAAAGCCAAAGCGUUUGAGCAGAAGUCCGGAACAAUUCGGGCCCACCACGUCAAAGCAGUCGUGAAGAGCGUUCUGAAAAAUGCAAGAGGAUGAAGACCAUUUAUGAUCUGAUGGUCAUUGUUUCGGUCCCCGUGAAGCACUUGAUUUUUGUGGUGUUUUGAUUUGCUCAAUUAAAGGUAGCUGUUUUGUUGUUUUCUCAA